GACGAACGCUGGCGGCGUGCCUAAUACAUGCAAGUCGAACGCUUCUUUCCUCCCGAGUGCUUGCACUCAAUUGGAAAGAGGAGUGGCGGACGGGUGAGUAACACGUGGGUAACCUACCCAUCAGAGGGGGAUAACACUUGGAAACAGGUGCUAAUACCGCAUAACAGUUUAUGCCGCAUGGCAUAAGAGUGAAAGGCGCUUUCGGGUGUCGCUGAUGGAUGGACCCGCGGUGCAUUAGCUAGUUGGUGGGGUAACGGCUCACCAAGGACACGAUGCAUAGCCGACCUGAGAGGGUGAUCGGCCACACUGGGACUGAGACACGGCCCAGACUCCUACGGGAGGCAGCAGUAGGGAAUCUUCGGCAAUGGACGAAAGUCUGACCGAGCAACGCCGCGUGAGUGAAGAAGGUUUUCGGAUCGUAAAACUCUGUUGUUAGAGAAGAACAAGGACGUUAGUAACUGAACGUCCCCUGACGGUAUCUAACCAGAAAGCCACGGCUAACUACGUG
rnacentral:rRNA from 1 species